rnacentral:sRNA from 1 species
AUUGGGGGUGGUGGCACACACCUGUCGUCCCAGCUACUCUGGAGGCUGAGGCAGGAGGAUCACUUUAGCCCACAAGUUCAAGAUCAGCCUGGGCAAUAUAGUAAGACCCUGUCUCAA